GACGAACGCUGGCGGCGUGCUUAACACAUGCAAGUCGAACGGAAAGGCCCUGCUUGCAGGGUACUCGAGUGGCGAACGGGUGAGUAACACGUGGGUGAUCUGCCCUGCACUUCGGGAUAAGCCUGGGAAACUGGGUCUAAUACCGGAUAGGAGCCAUUUUUAGUGUGAUGGUUGGAAAGUUUUUUCGGUGUAGGAUGAGCUCGCGGCCUAUCAGCUUGUUGGUGGGGUAAUGGCCUACCAAGGCGGCGACGGGUAGCCGGCCUGGGAGGGUGGACGGCCACAUUGGGACUGAGAUACGGCCCAGACUCCUACGGGAGGCAGCAGUGGGGAAUAUUGCACAAUGGGCGCAAGCCUGAUGCAGCGGCGCCGCGUGGGGGAUGACGGCCUUCGGGUUGUAAACUCCUUUCGCUAGGGACGAAGCUUUUUGUGACGGUACCUAGAUAAGAAGCACCGGCUAACUACGUG
rnacentral:rRNA from 1 species